rnacentral:rRNA from 1 species
AUACGUAGGGUGCGAGCGUUGUCCGGAAUUACUGGGCGUAAAGAGCUCGUAGGUGGUUUGUCGCGUCGUCUGUGAAAUUCCGGGGCUUAACUCCGGGCGUGCAGGCGAUACGGGCAUAACUUGAGUACUGUAGGGGAGACUGGAAUUCCUGGUGUAGCGGUGAAAUGCGCAGAUAUCAGGAGGAACACCGGUGGCGAAGGCGGGUCUCUGGGCAGUAACUGACGCUGAGGAGCGAAAGCAUGGGUAGCGAACAGGAUUAGAUACCCUGGUAUUCCAUGCCGUAAACGGUGGGCGCUAGGUGUAGGGGUCUUCCACGACUUCUGUGCCGUAGCUAACGCAUUAAGCGCCCCGCCUGGGGAGUACGGCCGCAAGGCUAAAACUCAAAGGAAUUGACGGGG